CAAACGACUCUCGGCAACGGAUAUCUCGGCUCACGCAUCGAUGAAGAACGUAGCAAAAUGCGAUACUUGGUGUGAAUUGCAGAAUCCCGUGAACCAUCGAGUUUUUGAACGCAAGUUGCGCCCGAAGCCUUUCGGCCGAGGGCACGUCUGCCUGGGCGUCAUGC
rnacentral:rRNA from 1 species